GCCCUUGCAUCGAUGAAGAACGCAGCGAAAUGCGAUAAGUAGUGUGAAUUGCAGAAUUCAGUGAAUCAUCGAAUCUUUGAACGCACAUUGCGCCCCUUGGUAUUCCAUGGGGCAUGCCUGUUCGAGCGUCAUU
rnacentral:rRNA from 1 species